rnacentral:rRNA from 1 species
UUCCUACGGGGGGCAGCAGUGGGGAAUAUUGCACAAUGGGGGAAACCCUGAUGCAGCGACGCCGCGUGAGUGAAGAAGUAUUUCGGUACGUAAAGCUCUAUCAGCAGGGAAGAAAAACCGGCCUUAGGGCCGCCAGACGGUACCUGACUAAGAAGCCCCGGCUAACUACGUGCCAGCAGCCGCGGUAAUACGUAGGGGGCAAGCGUUAUCCGGAAUUACUGGGUGUAAAGGGAGCGUAGACGGUUACGUAAGUCUGGAGUGAAAGGCCGGGGCCCAACCCCGGGACUGCUCUGGAAACUAUUGAA